rnacentral:rRNA from 1 species
CCUACGGGUGGCAGCAGUGAGGAAUAUUGGUCAAUGGACGAGAGUCUGAACCAGCCAAGUAGCGUGAAGGAUGACUGCCCUAUGGGUUGUAAACUUCUUUUAUAAGGGAAUAAAACGAGGCACGUGUGCCUUUAUGCAUGUACUUUACGAAUAAGGAUCGGCUAACUCCGUGCCAGCAGCCGCGGUAAUACGGAGGAUCCGAGCGUUAUCCGGAUUUAUUGGGAUUAAAGGGAGCGUAGAUGGGUUCUUAAGUCAGUUGGGAAAGUUUGGGGGUCAACCGUAAAAUUGCAAUUGAUACUGGCAGUCUAGAGUACAGUUGAGGUAGGCGGAAUUCGUGGUGUAGCGGUGAAAUGCGUAGAUAUCACGAAGAACCCCGAUUGCGAAGGCAGCUUACUAGACUGUGACUGACGCUGAUGCUCGAAAGUAUGGGUAGCGAACAGGAUUAGAUACCCCUGUAGUC